GACGAACGCUGGCGGCGUGCUUAACACAUGCAAGUCGAACGGAAAGGCCCUGCUCUUGUGGGGUUCUUGAGUGGCGAACGGGUGAGUAUCACGUGAGUAUCCCGCCCUUGACUUUGGGAUAUCUUUUGGGAACUCGGGCUCAUACCCGAUAGGAGCUCCUGCUGCAUGGUGGUGCUUGGACAUUUUCGGCGGUUGGGGAUGGACUCGCUGCUUACCAGCUUGUUGGUGGGGUAGUGGCUUACCAAGGAUUUGACGGGUAGCCGACCUGGGAGGGUAGCCGGCGUCAUGGGGACUGAGGUACGGCCCAGACUACUACGGGAGGCAGCGGUGGGGAGUAUUACACAAUGGGCGGAAGCCUGAUGCAACAGCGCCGCGUGCGGGAUGACGGCCUUCGAGUUGUAAACCGCUUUCGCAUGUGACGAAGAAUGAGUGACGGUAAUGGGUAAGGAAGCACCGGCUAACUACGUG
rnacentral:rRNA from 1 species